rnacentral:rRNA from 1 species
GACGAACGCUGGCGGCGUGCCUAAUACAUGCAAGUAGAACGCUGAAGGAGGAGCUUGCUUCUCUGGAUGAGUUGCGAACGGGUGAGUAACGCGUAGGUAACCUGCCUGGUAGCGGGGGAUAACUAUUGGAAACGAUAGCUAAUACCGCAUAAGAGUAGAUGUUGCAUGACAUUUGCUUAAAAGGUGCAAUUGCAUCACUACCAGAUGGACCUGCGUUGUAUUAGCUAGUUGGUGAGGUAACGGCUCACCAAGGCGACGAUACAUAGCCGACCUGAGAGGGUGAUCGGCCAAACUGGGACUGAGACACGGCCCAGACUCCUACGGGAGGCAGCAGUAGGGAAUCUUCGGCAAUGGACGGAAGUCUGACCGAGCAACGCCGCGGGAGUGAAGAAGGUUUUCGGAUCGUAAAGCUCUGUUGUAAGAGAAGAACGAGUGUGAGAGUGGAAAGUUCACACUGUGACGGUAUCUUACCAGAAAGCGACGGCUAACUACGUG